rnacentral:rRNA from 1 species
ACAACUUGGAUGCCCGAAGUAAUGGCGAAUAAAAUGGGCAAAGCUCAGCACCCAACUGCCGACUGUUUUAGUCGUGUAGAAUGUAGUGUUUGGAAGAGUCGCGUCACGUGCAGUUUGUGAGUUUAAGUUCAUCUUGACUGGGGCCAUUAUCCGUAGAGGGUGAUAGGCCCGUUAAACCGCAAAUUUUGCGUGCUGGCAAAUCCCUAGAGUCGAGUUGCUUGGGAGUGCAGCUCAAAGAGCGUGGUAGACUCCACGUAAAGCUAAAUAUAACCCUGAGACCGAUAGCGAACAAGUACCGUGAGGGAAAGUUGAAAAGAACUUUGAAGAGAGAGUUCAAUAGUACGUGAAACUGUGUAGUGGUAAACGGAGGGGUUUCUCGAAGUUAUGCAUUGGAAACUCAAGCUAUAGUUGCUUUAGUUUUAUUCUCUGCUGGUGAUUUGUCAAAAGCUCCGCGAGAUGACUGAAUGUCGACUAUUGCUGCAUUUUUUCAAUGCUUUACGCAAUGAACGGCUAGCCGCGUUCUAAAAGUUUGAGUAAAGUUUGUUUGUUUUUGUUUUGUUUUUCGUUCCUCUUGUAGGGGUGUUUGCAAAAAUUAAUUAACAAGUCUCUUUCUUAGAGCUGCGUGGCUGGCUGGUAUUAGAGUAGUCUCGUUAUAACGAGCGAGUAAGUGUUCUUGCUAUCGCGGACUGCAUAUCUAUUGCGAGUAGGUCGGUGGCCCCUCCGACCCGUCUUGAAACACGGACCAAGGAGUCUAACAUGUGUGCGAGUCAUUGGGUGAAUUAAACUCAAAGGCGUAGUGAAAGCAAAGUACCUUUAUUGGUACGAGGGGCGAUUUCAAAGCAAAUCUUAGUUUGGAUGAAUGCAGCCCUGGCGCUUCAAAUUGACAUCGUUUUCUUUUGGAGCAGCAAGAGCAGACACGUUGGGACCCGAAAGAUGGUGAACUAUGCCUGGCCAGGUUGAAGUCAGGGGAAACCCUGAUGGAGGACCGUAGCGAUUCUGACGUGCAAAUCGAUCGUCGGAGCUGGGUAUAGGGGCGAAAGACUAAUCAACCC